rnacentral:lncRNA from 1 species
CACCAGGUGCAAGUGAACCAGAGCACAUCCCGGAUCAUACGCACGGUGGAUAGUGCGCAAUCGGGAAUUGGUGAAAGACAAGGGUAGCGUGGCGUGUUAUCCACCGUGGGAUUUGACGCGGUCCAAUUGCACUUGGUGCAUGCAAUACGGAGGCCCAAGGAUGAAGUGCGACAAGUGAAGCAAGUCGUUCCGCUACCACCACCUGUAGAUACGACACCUGCACUCGUUGCAUGACAUGUCUAUUGCUCAUUGAG